rnacentral:rRNA from 1 species
GACGAACGCUGGCGGCGUGCUUAACACAUGCAAGUCGAACGGAAAGGCCCUGCUUUUGUGGGGUGCUCGAGUGGCGAACGGGUGAGUAACACGUGAGUAACCUGCCCUUGACUUUGGGAUAACUUCAGGAAACUGGGGCUAAUACCGGAUAGGAGCACCUGCUGCAUGGUGGGGGUUGGAAAGUUUCGGCGGUCGGGGACGGACUCGCGGCUUAUCAGCCUGUUGGUGGGGGAUUGGCUUACCAAGGCUUUGACGGGUAGCCGGCAUGAGAGGGUGACCGACAAAAGUAGAACUGAGAUACGGCCAAGAAACCUAGGGGAGGCAGCAGUGGGGAAAAUUACACAGUGGGCCGAAGCAUAGUGCAGAAACGGCGCGCGCGAGAUGCCGGCCGUCGGGUUGGAUACAGCCUUCGCCUGUAACGAAGCGUGAUUGACGGUAAUGGGUAGAGAAGCACCGGCUAACUACGUG